UUAUGUCUGUUACCAAUUUUUCUAAGCUCUCACCGGACCAUUUUCUUUUAACAAUACGUCAAAAGAUCACAAAUCGUAUCUAAUUGAAGACAUUGCUCUUAAAAAUUGAAAAAAUCACCCUCGUUUAUUGAAAAUGGAAAAUUCCCAAAAUCGGCAAAAUUUGACAUUUUUUAAAAUUUUUUUUGCUUAAAACUGCCAUAAUUUUUUGAAAAACGAACGAAUUCAAAUAUAUGUUUUUUAAAUGAAAACCUUAGGUAAUUUCUUUUCACUUAAUAUACAUUUUUUGAAAAUAUGACACUUUGCCUGCACACAGGAGAGGAAUCAAAAUAUGAACUUCUGCACAAUUGUUUAAUUUUUUAAACUUAAAUUUUGCAAUUACUCUGAACUUCAAUCAUGUGUUAAAAUAAAAGUUUUGUUAUGUACUAGAAGUUCAAAAAAAAAAAUUUGUCCCGACGACCUUUUCUAUGUGCAAAUGGCUGCCGUAUUUAAAAAAUCGUGCAUUCUACUGAAAAUAUAAAAUUGAGUAAACCCAAUAUAAUAUAAAAAGAUAUUGCAUGUAACUGGACGAUGUUCCAUCACAACAGAAUAGUUUUUUGAAUUAUUAAGUAGUGAAUUAUCCAAUAAAGCUUAUGGUACAGUGAAAUGAUCAUAAUAUUAAUCUGACUAGUUUCAUAUUCAUGCAGGUUUUUUAUGGAUUUCUCUUAAAAAUACUUAUUUAAAAUUAAUAGAUGCAAUGCGCAACAGAAAAAUGAAUGAAAAAUUAAAGCAUAAUUAAAAGCAUUAAAAUUAUAAUUAAAAUUAUUUUAGUGAAUAAUUAGAAAACAAUAUCAGAAACAAUGUGUAAAUUAUUUAAAAAUUAAUCAUCAAAACAAAAAAUCAAUCUGUGAAAAAUAAAAGAGUACAAAAUGUUGUUUACAGAGCAAUAAGAUUCUAUAGAUAAACCAAGCAACAAUGAUCAAGCAAUUUAUGAUUAUUGUGUUUACGGAAUUACACAUUGAUAAGUUAUUACUGUGGCAAAAUGUGCGUGUGAUCAUAUUCCUUUAUCACGAUGCUUGUUGUUCAAAGAUAACACCGACAAGAUAACACAAGUGACGAAUCUGCCCCUUAGAUAUUCAGUGUUUUUAAUAUAAUCAAAGACACGUCAAGAGUCAGAUUUUCGAAAAUUUAUUACCAAAUAAAAGAGAAAUGCCUAAGAGGUUCAGUUAAAAAGGUUAACUAGGUUAAUAUUUCUACUUUGAAUCCCAUCAAGGACACGUAAAAGGUCAGAUUUUCAAAAAUGUAUAACCAACUAAAAGGGAAAUACCAACGGUAAUUAUAAAAAAAUGAUUUUGAUUUAUUCAUUUAUCAAAAAUGUUGAGAUUUAAGUAAAAAAUAAUAAUAAUAAAAUACAAAGAUUUUUUAAAGUGGGAGCAAUACAGUCGACAAUGUAAAUGUACGUUCAAUAAUAUUCUGUUCGUGUUCGAUAUCACACAUAAUAAUAUUUUUAAUAUUGAACUUGAGUUUGGAAAUUUAUUUUGUAUUUUUUUUUUUGUUAUUAUAUUAAGAUUUAAAUAAAAUUGAUCAAAAUACUAAUAUUUUAAGAAAUUUAUUAGUUGUAUUAGUAUUCAAAUAUAUAGCAAU